GUUAAAAGCUCCAGAACAGUUGCUAAGUAAAUUAACUUAGAUAUAUAAGAUAAAAUAAGAUGAGCCUUUAUUAAUCCCCAGAGGGAAAUUCAGGUGUCAAAGCAGCAACAUCAGCAAACAGAGUGAAACACAGGAGAGAAGAAGUGUGGACCUGACCUGCUGAGGGAUUUUAAAGCGAACAUGAGAACAAAGUCUGAACAUGUCCUCCAUCUCCUCGGGCGUGAUCCUCCCUCCCUGGCAAAUGGAAAUGGAUCCAACUGAGGACAUAUACUUGUACCUGAUGGAUCCUCCUGACCUGCCCCUGAAUGGAGUAAUCCUCUGUGUUGCCCCCCUGACCUUGACGACGGUGAGCCAUGUGUCUUUGUGAGCAGAGAAGCCAUGCAGCAUUAAAAUGGAGGGUCUCAUCCCGGGCUUCCCUCUGUAGGCGUAACAGAAGCGAUAGCCGCCGCAGUCUGCGUAGCGCACCUGCAGGCCCAGAGUCCUCCUCCAGUACCUGAAGAGGAGCAAGUUCGUCUCAGCCUUUACACACACAGACACGACGGCACUGAAAUUCACAUUUGAGCCAAGUGAUAAUGGAUGCAAAUUAUUAUGAGCAUGUGUUGCCAAUUUGCUUCAUGUUAAGGCUCGGAUACACUAAGGGUUUAAUGUUGAGGCAAAUUUAGGAAUUCAGGCUUUAUAAAAAAAUUAACUGACAUGCACUUUCACACAGUUUAUGUUCAUAAAAGUAAUAUUAAUGUGUUUAAAAGGAUAGGCUCACAUUUUUUAAAGUCAAUUUUAAUGCAACACACACAGUCUAAGUAAAAUUAAAGUGACCAACAAUGCUUUUCAAAGUACAUAUAGGCAUGUGAGUGUUGUUUUAAAACCCAGGCUGAUAUUAGGGGAUAGGUGGAUAAAAUAAUGCACAAGACAUGAAGAAUGUUUCUAUUAGAAGGAAUGGUGGAGCAGCCAUAAAAGACUUGAAUAUGUAACUCAAUGUAAACAUCAUAUAGCUUCAGUGAAGGACUGCAAACAGAUCACACAGAAGAUAUAAAGAAAAAAUGAAAGGAAA